GACGAACGCUGGCGGCGUGCUUAACACAUGCAAGUCGAACGGAAAGGCCCUGCUUGCAGGGUACUCGAGUGGCGAACGGGUGAGUAACACGUGGGUGAUCUGCCCUGCACUUCGGGAUAAGCCUGGGAAACUGGGUCUAAUACCGGAUAGGAGCCAUUUUUAGUGUGAUGGUUGGAAAGUUUUUUCGGUGUAGGAUGAGCUCGCGGCCUAUCAGCUUGUUGGUGGGGUAAUGGCCUACCAAGGCGGCGACGGGUAGCCGGCCUGAGCGGGUGGACGGCCACAUUGGGACUGAGAUACGGCCCAGACUCCUACGGGAGGCAGCAGUGGGGAAUAUUGCACAAUGGGCGCAAGCCUGAUGCAGCGACGCCGCGUGGGGGAUGACGGCCUUCGGGUUGUAAACUCCUUUCGCUAGGGACGAAGCUUUUUGUGACGGUACCUAGAUAAGAAGCACCGGCUAACUACGUG
rnacentral:rRNA from 1 species